rnacentral:rRNA from 1 species
AGCCGCGGUAAUACGUAGGUGGCAAGCGUUGUCCGGAAUUAUUGGGCGUAAAGCGCGCGCAGGCGGUUCCUUAAGUCUGAUGUGAAAGCCCCCGGCUCAACCGGGGAGGGUCAUUGGAAACUGGGGAACUUGAGUGCAGAAGAGGAGAGCGGAAUUCCACGUGUAGCGGUGAAAUGCGUAGAGAUGUGGAGGAACACCAGUGGCGAAGGCGGCUCUCUGGUCUGUAACUGACGCUGAGGCGCGAAAGCGUGGGGAGCGAACAGGAUUAGAUACCCUGGUAGUCCACGCCGUAAACGAUGAGUGCUAAGUGUUAGAGGGUUUCCGCCCUUUAGUGCUGCAGCAAACGCAUUAAGCACUCCGCCUGGGGAGUACGGCCGCAAGGCUGAAACUCAAAGGAAUUGACGGGGGCCCGCACAAGCGGUGGAGCAUGUGGUUUAAUUCGAAGCAACGCGAAGAACCUUACCAGGUCUUGACAUCCUCUGACAACCCUAGAGAUAGGGCGUUCCCCUUCGGGGGACAGAGUGACAGGUGGUGCAUGGUUGUCGUCAGCUCGUGUCGUGAGAUGUUGGGUUAAGUCCCGCAACGAGCGCAACCCUUGAUCUUAGUUGCCAGCAUUCAGUUGGGCACUCUAAGGUGACUGCCGGUGACAAACCGGAGGAAGGUGGGGAUGACGUCAAAUCAUCAUGCCCCUUAUGACCUGNGCUACACACGUGCUA